AGUGAACGCUGGCGGUAGGCCUAACACAUGCAAGUCGAACGGCAGCACAGUAAGAGCUUGCUCUUACGGGUGGCGAGUGGCGGACGGGUGAGGAAUACAUCGGAAUCUACUUUUUCGUGGGGGAUAACGUAGGGAAACUUACGCUAAUACCGCAUACGACCUACGGGUGAAAGCGGGGGAUCUUCGGACCUUGCGCGAUUGAAUGAGCCGAUGUCGGAUUAGCUAGUUGGCGGGGUAAAGGCCCACCAAGGCGACGAUCCGUAGCUGGUCUGAGAGGAUGAUCAGCCACACUGGAACUGAGACACGGUCCAGACUCCUGCGGGAGGCAGCAGUGGGGAAUAUUGGACAAUGGGCGCAAGCCUGAUCCAGCCAUACCGCGUGGGUGAAGAAGGCCUUCGGGUUGUAAAGCCCUUUUGUUGGGAAAGAAAAGCAGCAGGUUAAUACCCCGCUGUUCUGACGGUACCCAAAGAAUAAGCACCGGCUAACUUCGUG
rnacentral:rRNA from 1 species